rnacentral:rRNA from 1 species
UUAAACGUCCAUACCAUGUUGAAUACACCGAUUCUUGUCCGAUCACCGAAGUUAAGCAACGUCGGGCACGGUCAGUACUUGGAUGGUUGACCGCCUGGGAACAACGCGUGAUUUUGUUU